GGAGGAGGCGGAGGAGAGGGUGGUUCCCUUCAGAGAGGCACAGGGCCUGAGUAAAGUGGCAGUGAUUCCUUUGCAGGUUCCUGAGAGCAGACUCAUGAGCACAGGCAUUGUCUCCAGGGACAGCACAAAGCUGUCUGGCCCCGGGGAAGACCUCUCAUGGGAAGCGUCCCCAGAGAGUAGCUUCUCACACUCACCCAGAGGCUGAGCACGUGGAAUUUACACCAGACUUCAGGGUGAGCUCACGGCGUUGUCGGGUGACAGCUUGCCUCAGAUGAGCCGAAACAUGUUGGCUAGGGAGCCUCCCUCAUGUCUGCUGGUCACAGCAGGGGCAGUGACCGCAUGGAAACGCCCCGCGGAGCACAUUCCAGAACAGACCACCCGGGCAUUACCACGCACCUGAAUCUGCAAAACAUCUGCUGAUCUUGGCCACAGAACAGACUCUGUCUGAAGUACCUGGAGGAAGGGCCAGGCAGGGCAGGAGGAGGAGGAGGGCUGAGUCUGGCCUCGGGGACCCCCAACCUUCAGGAGCUCCUGCGUCUGAGGCUUAACUAAAUGAGACAACAGAUGAAAAUACACUUUCAAAAGCCUUAGGUACUAAACCAAGGGAUGGUUUUGAUCAUUGGGAUUAUUCUCUGGACUCUGGAAGCAAUGAACUCCACAUUGUCUUUGCAAGAUCCUGGCUCUGCGUCAACUGGCCCUCCAGCCCUGGACAGUCGCCAGAAUCCAGUCCUCUGUUACCUUGAGGAGGUGAGGAGAGCAGAUGCAGAGAAGCCAGCUGCACCUGGCCAAGGGCCCGAUGGCCAGGAGUCAGAUCUCCAAGGAGAUAGCCAGAAUCCAAGCAUGUGACCCAGCCACCUGUGGAUCACAUCUUCUCUCCUCACAGAUGGAGCAAAGGGAGUUUGAGCAGAGCACCACACCCCAGAAGAGGCCCACACCUGCCCUCGAAGGCAGCUCCUCUCCGGGCAGGAUCAGUCUGAGAGGCAGAUGGAAGGAAACAAGUUCUGGAAGAUGGGGUGACAAGCCACCAUCAUACAGCAAGUGACGGGGCAGAAAAAAUCCAACCAAGGCCUGCAUGAGAAGUCCCGGCUCUCCCCACAGCACCAAGCCAACUCCCCACAGUGCUGACACCUCACAGGUAGCCCACUCCUCCAUAAGAGGUUCCUGGUGUGCCCUGGAGCAGAAGCAGAGUUAGAACUGGAUCUCUGGGGUCCUUCCUCCACUCCCUGUCAGCGGCUGGCCUUCUUACCUUCCCCAGCUCUCUGUCAUGCCACGAACCUGCCCUCCUGGUAAUUAUUGCUACAGCCAACAAGUCAGGCCAUCAGACACUCACCAGCAUUUGGUCAGCACACACCCACCACCUGCAGGGCAAAGAACAGGUCAAAUGAGAGGGUUUGGCAAUCCUGUCACUGUUAGGAUUAUAAAUGUAUAAUUCUCUGCACUUAUCUCUAGCUUUUUUGUAGCGAAAGCAUUCCACAAAUAGGUCAGGCUGAGGGUGAGUCAGACAGAAGCCGUUCAGGUCAGCUUAUGUCAAGGAAAGCCAGGUGGAGAGAGAGGUCCAAGCUAACCUAUUCCCUGCGGCCAAUUUGGUGGUCGCCACCUGGGAUUUGGACAAGAGCUCUGCUUUGGGAAAUUUUCAUGCAACCUACCCAGAGGCACAGGCAU
rnacentral:lncRNA from 1 species